rnacentral:ncRNA from 1 species
UCUUAUCAAGAGCGGCAGAGGGACUGGCCCAAUGAAGCCCGGCAACCGGCAUGAAAUGCAAGGUGCUAAAUCCAGCAAAGCAGUGUGCUUUGGAAGAUGAGA